rnacentral:rRNA from 1 species
AACGAACGCUGGCGGCAGGCCUAACACAUGCAAGUCGAGCGAAGCCUUCGGGCUUAGCGGCGGACGGGUGAGUAACGCGUGGGAACGUGCCCUUUGGUACGGAAUAGCCCCGGGAAACUGGGAGUAAUACCGUAUGUGGUCGAGAGACGAAAGAUUUAUCGCCAAAGGAUCGGCCCGCGUUGGAUUAGGUAGUUGGUGGGGUAAUGGCCUACCAAGCCGACGAUCCAUAGCUGGUUUGAGAGGAUGAUCAGCCACACUGGGACUGAGACACGGCCCAGACUCCUACGGGAGGCGGCAGUGGGGAAUCUUAGACGAUGGGGGAAACCCUGAUCUGGCCAUGCCGCGGGAUCGAUGGAGGCCUUAGGGUUGUAAAGAUCAUUCAGUGGGGAAGAUAAUGACUGUACCCACAGAAGAAGCCCCGGCUAACUCCGUGCCAGCCGCCGCAGUAACAC